GGGAGUGACGUCAAGUCCUCAUGGCCUUACUGACCAGGGCUACACACGUGCUACAAUAGGCCGGUACAAAGAGUUGCGAUACCGCGAGGUGGAGCUAAUCUCAUAAAGCCGGUCUCAGUUCGGAUUGGAGUCUGCAACUCGACUCCAUGAAGUUGGAAUCGCUAGUAAUCGCGGAUCAGCACGCCGCGGUGAAUACGUUCCCGGGCCUU
rnacentral:rRNA from 1 species